CAAGUACUCCCUCCGUCCGGAAUUAUUUGUCAUCAAAAUGGAUGUGUCUAGAACUAAAAUACAUCCAGAUACAUCCAUUUCAAUGACAAGUAUUUUCGGAUGGAGGGAGUACAAG
rnacentral:pre_miRNA from 1 species